UUAAAGAGUGCGUAAUAGCUCACUGGUCUAGUGAUCCUGCGCCGAAAAUGAAUGGGACUAAGCUAUUUGCCGAAACUGUGAGAUGUAAAACAUCGGUAGGGGAGCGUUCUGUAAUAGGUUGAAGCAUUAGUGAAAACGAAUGUGGACAAAACAGAAGUGAGAAUGUCGGCUUGAGUAGCGAAAACAUUGGUGAGAAUCCAAUGCCCCGAAAACCUAAGGGUUCCUUCGGAAGGUUCGUCCGCGAAGGGUGAGUCAGGUCCUAAGGCGAGGUUGAAAAGCGUAGUCGAUGGAUAACAGGUUAAUAUUCCUGUACUAUUUACUAUUGAUAUUGAGGGACGGAGAAGGCUAAAUCAGCCGAGUGUUGGUUAUCGGUUUAAAUUCUCGAAGGUGUGGAAGGAUAGAGAAAAUAUCCUGAGCUAAGAAAUGAGUACAAGAUACUACGGUAUUAAAGUGAUUGAUGUCAUACUUCCUAGAAAAGCUCGGCAUAUCUUAAAUAGUAAAUACCUGUACCCAGAACCGACACAGGUAGGUAAGUAGAAUAUACUAAGGGGUGCGAGAUAACUCUCUCUAAGGAACUCGGCAAAAUAGCCCCGUAACUUCGGAAGAAGGGGUGCCCUUGUAGGGUUGCAAUAAAUAGACCCAAGCGACUGUUUAUCAAAAACAUAGGUCUCCGCUAAGUCGUAAGACAAUGUAUGGGGGCUGACGCCUGCCCAGUGCCGGAAGGUUAAAGAAGCUGGUUAGUGUUAAACAAAGCUGGCAACUGAAGCCCCGGUGAACGGCGGCCGUAACAAUAACGGUCCUAAGGUAGCGAAAUUCCUUGUCGGGUAAGUUCCGACCCGCACGAAAGGCGUAACGAUUUGGGUACUGUCUCAGAGAGAGACUCGGCGAAAUAGAAUUGUCUGUGAAGAUGCGGACUACCUACACCUGGACAGAAAGACCCUAUGAAGCUUUACUGUAACUUGGAAUUGAAGUUGGGUUUACUUUGUGCAGAAUAGGUGGGAGGCUAAGAUAAUAUAUUUGAGGAUAUAUAGGAGCCGUCAGUGAGAUACCACUCUAAGUACACUAGGCUUCUAACCUUGAAAGCCGUUAACCGGCCAAGGAACAGUUUCAGGCGGGCAGUUUGACUGGGGCGGUCGCCUCCUAAAAGGUAACGGAGGCGUACAAAGGUUUUCUCAAGCUGGUCAGAAAUCAGUUUUAGAGUAUAAAGGCAAAAGAAAGCUUGACUGCAAGACCUACAAGUCGAGCAGAGACGAAAGUCGGUCUUAGUGAUCCGACAGUUCUGAGUGGAAAGGCUGUCGCUCAACGGAUAAAAGUUACUCUAAGGAUAACAGGCUGAUCUCCCCCAAGAGUUCACAUCGACGGGGAGGUUUGGCACCUCGAUGUCGGCUCA
rnacentral:rRNA from 1 species